rnacentral:rRNA from 1 species
UACGAAGGGGGCUAGCGUUGUUCGGAUUUACUGGGCGUAAAGCGCACGUAGGCGGAUCUUUAAGUCAGAGGUGAAAUCCCAAGGCUCAACCUUGGAACUGCCUUUGAUACUGGGGAUCUUGAGUCCGGGAGAGGUGAGUGGAACUGCGAGUGUAGAGGUGAAAUUCGUAGAUAUUCGCAAGAACACCAGUGGCGAAGGCGGCUCACUGGCCCGGUACUGACGCUGAGGUGCGAAAGCGUGGGGAG